rnacentral:rRNA from 3 species
UCCGACCUCAGAUCGGACGAGAUUACCCGCUGAAUUUAAGCAUAUAACUAAGCGGAGGAAAAGAAACUAACAAGGAU